AUACGUAGGGUGCAAGCGUUAAUCGGAAUUACUGGGCGUAAAGCGCGCGUAGGUGGUUCGUUAAGUUGGAUGUGAAAGCCCCGGGCUCAACCUGGGAACUGCAUCCAAAACUGGCGAGCUAGAGUAUAGCAGAGGGUGGUGGAAUUUCCUGUGUAGCGGUGAAAUGCGUAGAUAUAGGAAGGAACACCAGUGGCGAAGGCGCCCCCCUGGGCUAAUACUGACACUGAGGUGCGAAAGCGUGGGGAGAAAACAGGAUUAGAUACCCUGGUAGUCCACGCCGUAAACGAUGUCGACUAGCCGUUGGGAUCCUUGAGAUCUUAGUGGCGCAGCUAACGCAUUAAGUCGACCGCCUGGGGAGUACGGCCGCAAGGUUAAAACUCAAAUGAAUUGACGGGG
rnacentral:rRNA from 1 species